rnacentral:lncRNA from 1 species
CAGAUUUAGGGCAAAGUUAACACUUCAAAAAUAUCUCCAGUAAUUGAGUAAAUUGCUCAUCUGUCAAAUUGGCUCUUUGGCAAAUUACUCUGCUUGCACAUAUUAAUAGCCAAGCUUAGCCAACUUGAAAUAUGGAGAUUUACUGGAAAUCACAGUGAAGUGAAGAGAGAGGCAAGAGCAGAAUUGAAAUUCCCACCUGGCAGCAAAAGAGAGUUAUGCAGAGCCUAUCAGGACCCGUGUUCACACCAGCACUUAGUUUGGAGGAAGCACCUGGAGGAGAUGCAGAGUCCAGAUGUGCGCCCUCUGCCGGAAGCCUACUGCACCAGGACGUAGGCCUGGAGUGGCCCUUAACGCAUUUGGAAAUCAGUCUUCACUAAAAAAACUUCCUCCAAAAUGUUCUUUAACAGCCCUUUAAAAGCCAUUGUUUCAAAACAGUCCAAGGUGGUGAACAAUUAAUAUUUUCGAUUUACAUGAAGACUCUGGAGUAGGAAUUACCUGAGUUGGAAACUCAGUUCUACUCUAUUGGUAUCAGGUUGCAUUCUGUAUCAUCAUUAAAAUUUUCAGAAAAACUCUC